GCACCUCAGGAAAAUACAUUUAUCUGUUUUAUGAUGGUAUCAUGGUUGUGAAUAGUUUUCCAACCUUUUUUGUUCCAACUAAGUUUGGUGCUUCUUGACUAUUAAGGCGUUUGCCAGCCGAGAGAAAGGCUUAAAAACGCACAGAACACAAGAAUGCAUUGGUUAACAGUGUUACCUAAAACUAGCACCUCAGGAAAGUACAUUUAUCCUUUUCAUGAUGGUAUCAUGGUUUGUGAAUAGUUUUCAAACCUUUUUUGUUCAAACUAAGUUUUGGUGCUUUCUUGACUAUUAAGGCGUUUUCAGGCCGAGAGACGGCUUAAAAACGCACAGAACACAAGAAUGCAUUGGUUAGCAGUGUUUUCCUAAAUCUAGCACCUCAGGAAAGUACAUUUAGCCUUUUCAUGAUGGUAUCAUGGUUUGUGAAUAGUUUUCCAACCUUUUUUGUUCAAACUAAGAUUUGUGGUGCAUUCUUGACUAUUAAGGCGUUUGCAGGCCGAGAGAAAGCUGA
ensembl:lncRNA